rnacentral:rRNA from 1 species
UACGUAGGGUGCAAGCGUUAAUCGGAAUUACUGGGCGUAAAGCGUGCGCAGGCGGAUAUGUAAGACAGAUGUGAAAUCCCCGGGCUCAACCUGGGAACUGCAUUUGUGACUGCAGCGCUGGAGUGCGGCAGAGGGGGAUGGAAUUCCGCGUGUAGCAGUGAAAUGCGUAGAUAUGCGGGGGAACACCGAUGGCGAAGGCAAUCCCCUGGGCCUGCACUGACGCUCAUGCGCGAAAGCGUGGGGAGCAAACAGG